ACUAUAUGAGACCGUUUCGAGUUCCAAACGUCUAAACAGCAAUUGCAAUUUGAUAUUAUGCUAUUGUAGUGUAAUACAUUAAGUAAGACGAAUUUUAAAAAAUAUAUUUUAACGUUUAAAUUAUAACGUAAAACUUGUCUUUAUUCGUUCCAUCGUAAAAACGAAAACGCGAAAACCUCUCGAAUAAACGCCACACAUGUGAUGGAUUUAUUAGUUUAUUAGUUGUUUAUAAGCUUGAAACUUUUAUACCGUAACGGCGUUUUUAAACUUGUCGCGUGACAAUAAUAAUGUUGUUUUAUGUUUUGUGUUUUUUUUUUUUUUUACAAACCUGCCCGCUAUAAAAUAAUUAUUUAUAUAUAUAUUUAAAUACCUGAGCCGCAAAGGCCGAAAACGAUACGGUGGACGGCGGAAAGUGGAGGGAGGUGGGAAGCGGAAAUAAAACCGUCGUCGUCGUUAUGAUAUACUGGCUACCGUAACGGGCGCC